rnacentral:rRNA from 1 species
UUUAACUGAGCGUUCAGUUACUUGACGUAGACCCGAAACCGGGCGACCUACCCAUGAGCAGGAUGAAGCGAAAGUAAAAUUUCGUGGAGGUCCGAACCCACGAGCGUUGAAAAGCUCGGGGAUGACUUGUGGGUAGCGGUGAAAUUCCAAUCGAGCCCGGAGAUAGCUGGUUCUCCCCGAAAUAGCUUUAGGGCUAGCCUCAAGGUGAGAGAUACGGAGGUAGAGCACUGAAUGUCCUAGGGGGUAUUGCACCUACCGAAGACUAUCAAACUCCGAAUGCCGUCAUCUUAUACUUGGGAGUCAGACUGUGGGUGAUAAGAUUCAUAGUCGAAAGGGCAACAGCCCAGAUCGUCAGCUAAGGUCCCUAAAUGUAAGUUAAGUGGUAAAGGAUGUGGGAUUGCACAGACAACCAGGAUGUUGGCUUAGAAGCAGCCACUCAUUCAAAGAGUGCGUAAUAGCUCACUGGUCGAGUGAUCCUGCGCCGAAGAUUUCCGGGGCUAAAACUUACUACCGAAGCUACGGCAUCAGUAAUGAUGGGUAGGGGAGCUUCCCAUACGGGUUGAAGCAUGACCGUAAGGACAUGUGGACAGUAUGGGAGUGAGAAUGUUGGCAUGAGUAGCGAGAUGUGGGUGAGAAUCCCACAGGCCGUAAACCCAAGGUUUCCAGGGGAAGGUUCGUCCGCCCUGGGUUAGUCGGGACCUAAGCUGAGGCCGAAAGGCGUAGGUGAUGGACAACAGGUUGAUAUUCCUGUACUACCGAUAACCGUUUGAGAGAAGGGAUGACACAGUAGGAUAAGCUAAGCACACUGUUGGUUAUGUGUGCCCAAGCAUUGAGGCAGUCAAAGUAGGCAAAUCCGCUUUGAUAAUGCUGGGAUGUGAUGGGGAGCGAAAUUUAGUAGCGAAGUAGCUGAUUUCACACUGUCAAGAAAAGUCUCUAUCGAGGUUAAAGGUACCCGUACCGCAAACCGACACAGGUGGGUGAGGAGAGUAUCCUAAGGCCAGCGAGAGAACUGUUGUUAAGGAACUCGGCAAAAUGACCCCGUAACUUAGGGAUAAGGGGUGCCACCAUCAGGUGGCCGCAGAG